rnacentral:rRNA from 1 species
GKYYYACAAAWWUGGAGGGCGGGCUGGACCUCUCGGGGUUACAGCCUUGCUGAAUUAUUCACCCUUGUCUUUUGCGUACUUCUUGUUUCCUUGGUGGGUUCGCCCACCACUAGGACAAACAUAAACCUUUUGUAAUUGCAAUCAGCGUCAGUAACAAAUUAAUAAUUACAACUUUCAACAACGGAUCUCUUGGUUCUGGCAUCGAUGAAGAACGCAGCGAAAUGCGAUAAGUAGUGUGAAUUGCAGAAUUCAGUGAAUCAUCGAAUCUUUGAACGCACAUUGCGCCCUUUGGUAUUCCAAAGGGCAUGCCUGUUCGAGCGUCAUUUGUACCCUCAAGCUUUGCUUGGUGUUGGGCGUCUUGUCUCUAGCUUUGCUGGAGACUCGCCUUAAAGUAAUUGGCAGCCGGCCUACUGGUUUCGGAGCGCAKCACAAGUCGCACUCUCUAUCAGCAAAGGUCUAGCAUCCAUUAAGCCUUUUUUUCAACUUUUGACCUCRGAUCAGGUAGGGAUACCCGCUGAACUUAAGCRUAUCARUAAGCGGAGGGAWUC